CCAGUCUUAAGAUCCCACCAGCCCUUCCAAAACCUGUAUUUUCCUUCUAGAGCCCUAACAGAGUUUUUACAUCUCUCUUCUUCAGCUCUUCUCUUAAGAUGUUCUGUUAAGUCCCCCAGGAAGCGCAGCCCUCUUCCUUAGUUGCCAGCAGUAAGUUAUGCACUCUAGAUAGAGCUCCCAGUCAGAGGGCUGAGGAGGGUCGGGAGAACAUCAAGUCAGUAUGCCCCUUAUGCCCUGGGCUAGAGACUUGCUAGAAUGGCGCUGAGAGAGGGCAGCUAGCUCGCGAGCGGGAGCCAGGCCCAGAGGCCUCGUCUCAGUUCAGAUCACAGGCUACAGCUCGCCUGCUUGAAGUCGGAAGCGCUAGUAAGCGCAGAGCAGCAGGCUACUGUGAAGACGGUCCCGGGCCUUGUACACACCUCCCAUCACACCAUGGGAGCUGGCCAUGCCCAAAGUCGGAGAACCCGCCGAAGGCAGAGCUGGUAACUAGAGUGAAGGCAUAAGAAGGUAACCCAAGCAGCCACUCGAGCCAAGAGCAAAGUCUGCAGAUAGCCAUCACACUAGCAGCCACUCAAGCAUACAGCUAGAAAGCCCAAUUCACCCU
rnacentral:rRNA from 1 species